AAUAGACUAGAAUGAAAGUGGAAGUUUGAGUCAGAAACAAAUGAAUUCUAUGAAACACAGUAGACUAAUAGUGAGAUGGUUCAAAAAGAUAAUCAUCUUUUGCAGUUUCUGUGGAUAUAAAUAAAUAAACAAAAAAUAAGAUUACAUAUAAAAGGAUUGAGGAAUUAUGGAAAAUACAUUUAAAUAAAGAUAUUCUAUUAUGUUGAUUUCAAAAUGUUACUAAAAGAAAAUCUGGAAUAUGGAAAAAAGUUCUCUGAUCUUUUAAGAUGCUCAACUGACAAAACUCAGGAUUUUACUUUCGAAUUAAGUUUAUUAUUUAUGGAAUAG